rnacentral:rRNA from 1 species
GAUGAACGCUGGCGGCGUGCCUAAUACAUGCAAGUCGAGCGAACAGACGAGGAGCUUGCUCCUCUGACGUUAGCGGCGGACGGGUGAGUAACACGUGGAUAACCUACCUAUAAGACUGGGAUAACUUCGGGAAACCGGAGCUAAUACCGGAUAAUAUAUUGAACCGCAUGGUUCAAUAGUGAAAGACGGUUUUGCUGUCACUUAUAGAUGGAUCCGCGCCGCAUUAGCUAGUUGGUAAGGUAACGGCUUACCAAGGCAACGAUGCGUAGCCGACCUGAGAGGGUGAUCGGCCACACUGGAACUGAGACACGGUCCAGACUCCUACGGGAGGCAGCAGUAGGGAAUCUACCGCAAAGGGCGAAAGCUUGACGGAGCAACGCCGCGUGAGUGAUGAAGGUCUUCGGAUCGUAAAACUCUGUUAUUAGGGAAGAACAAAUGUGUAAGUAACUAUGCACGUCUUGACGGUACCUAAUCAGAAAGCCACGGCUAACUACGUG